rnacentral:snRNA from 1 species
GUGCUCACUUUGGCAGCACAUAUACUAAAAUUGGAAUGAUACAGAGAAGAUUAGCAUGGCAUCCUGCACAAGGAUGACAUGCAAAUUCAGGAACCAUCCAUGUAUUU